AAUACGGAGGAUGCGAGCGUUAUCCGGAUUUAUUGGGUUUAAAGGGUGCGUAGGCGGAUUUUUAAGUCAGCGGUAAAAUGUCCGGGCUCAACCCGGGCCGGCCGUUGAAACUGGGGAUCUUGAGUGGGCGAGAAGUAUGCGGAAUGCGUGGUGUAGCGGUGAAAUGCAUAGAUAUCACGCAGAACUCCGAUUGCGAAGGCAGCAUACCGGCGCCCGACUGACGCUGAGGCACGAAAGCGUGGGGAUCGAA
rnacentral:rRNA from 1 species